UGACCCCGGUAGUGUGUGAUGGGACGGUGUGGAGGGAGAUUCCCUCUGUGUCUGACCCCGGGAGUGUGUGAUUGGACGGAGUGGAGGGAGAUUCCCUCUGUGUCUGACCCCGGGACUGUGUGAUGGGACGGUGUGGAGGGAGAUUCAGUCUGUGUCUGACCCCGGGAGUGUGUGAUGGGACCGUGUAGAGGAAUAAUCAGUCUGUGUCUGACCCGUGAGAGUGUGUUGGUACGGUGUGGAGGGAGAUUCACACUGUGUCUGACCACGGGAGUGUGUGAUGGGACGGUGUGGAGGGAGAAUCACUCUGUGUUUCACGCCGGUAUUCCCUCCUCCAUCCGUCUGGUAUUCGGGACCUCAGCGACUCACGUCUGAUAUUCUGGAGGAUAAUAACUGUCUGCGUGGUACAGGAGGGUUUAGUUAGCCAUGAACGGGGUUAAUUUUGGACGAGAUCCUGGGCACCCGGCUCUGCCAGUCUGACCUCCCUCAGCCUGGAGCUGAGACACUACUGUGUCAGUGUGAGGAGCUCCGACCCACUGUUGCAGUGCACAGGGUGCGGGGGGCAGCAGAAACCUCAAACAAACUCAAGUCAGACACCAAGGCAGGAAGUUACAGCGGUUUAUUGAUUUCAUGAUAAAUGGAAAUUAAACAGUAUGUGUGCAGCUGACUUGCGAGAGUAAAUAAGCUGCUGUAGCGAUGUACUACAUACAGAGUUAGAGACAACGACACUCAGUCGGUAAAUCUGUUCCAGACUAGUUUAUUCAAACUUCCUGGUGCUGGCAUUUACUCUCUGGGUAUUUGUGAGCCGGCGCGCCUGCGCAGAAAGUGGGUCGCCACACUGUUCCCGACUCACUCACAGUCACACACAAUUAACUGACCGGCGACAACGGGUGACCGGUAGAUUAAUCAGUCCCGUUCCUCACCGUCACUCUGCAUCCAAUCACACUCCAGGGCCGUGUCCGGGAUCGCUGCGGAUCCAAGGUCAUUGCCGAGGUAUUUGUCAAUUUAACACCAUUAUAUCGGCCAGACAGCCGAAUGCACCGUCCUCACUCACAGUCACUCACAAUUAACUGACCGGUAGAUUAAUCAGUCCCGUUCCUCCCCGUCACUCUGCAUCCAAUCACACUCCGGGGCCGUGUCCGGGAUCGCUGCGGAUCCAAGGUCAUUGCCGAGGUAUUUGUCAAUUUAACACCAUUAUAUCGGCCAGACAGCCGAAUGCCCCGUCCUCAGCAGAGGGGGCAAAAGGAUUCUCUCCCGGGACACCGGUGUCCCAGACUGAGCCCCGGCCCCCCGGGCUCCUCCCGUCCGGGUAAUUCCCCAGGGUGUCACGCGGGAGAGUCUCGGACCCGCACAUCCGGCGGAAGUGGCGCCGCCGGACAGCGGGCGGAAAUACGUCACGGCGGGAGCGCUUCCGAGAUCACCGAGCUCGAGACCGGGGCCAGUUCCGUUAAAACCGUUGGGAAUCAGCCCCGGCGCGCGGCCAUUAAAGUUUGAGAAGGAGAAGGGCAGCUCGGAGGUGUCAGUGUUGCAGUUGAACAGGGGAAACUAUGGAGCCAUGAGGGAGGAGCUGGCCAAAGUUGACUGGACGGAUAUCCCAGCAGAAAAGACCAUGGAACAGCAAUGACAGUUUUACCCAAAUCCGUUUACUUGGAAACAGCACAAUGGAACAGUUUUAGAGUUCUGAGUGAGAGAUAAACCAAGUUACCUCAACUCCUGGCACUUGCUCAGCCCGGGUCCCAGCCGCUGGAUUCCUUCACACUG